rnacentral:rRNA from 1 species
UACGUAGGGUGCAAGCGUUGCCCGGAUUUAUUGGGCGUAAAGAGCUCGUAGGCGGUCUGUCGCGUCGGUCGUGAAAACUUGGGGCUUAACCCUGAGCUUGCGGUCGAUACGGGCAUGACUGGAGUUCGGCAGGGGAGACUGGAAUUCCUAGUGUAGCGGUGAAAUGCGCAGAUAUUAGGAAGAACACCGGUGGCGAAGGCGGCUCUCUGGAACGGUACUGACGCUGAGACGCAAAAGCGUGGGGAGCGAACAGG